rnacentral:rRNA from 12 species
RGUUACGGCCAUAUCCUGGUGAAAAUACCGCUUCCCGUCCGAUCAGCCAUAGUCAAGCACCAGAGAGCCUAGUUAGUAUUCUAGUGGGAGACCAUAGGAGAAUCCUGGGUGCUGUAAUU